UUCCCUGCUUAGUGCGUGUAGACUGGAAUUUUAUUACCAACAAAUAAAAUAAGGGAGUCCGCCUUUGAAAGUGGCGUGUAUGCUUGCAUUUAUGUAAGAAACCCAUAAGCUUUCAACAAGACACCCACCUGUGAAAACAGGUAUUAAAAAUCCAUUCAUCUUGCGGCUUCAUAGUGGG
rnacentral:other from 1 species